GGUUCCCGAUCAUAGCUCAGAUUGAACGCUGGCUGGAUGCUUUACACAUGCAAGUCCAAGACGGCAGCACGGACUUCGGUCUGGUGGCGAGUGGCGAACGGGUGAGUAAUGUAUCGGAACAUUACUCUGAAAUGGCGGGGAUAACUACGCCCGAAGCGUAGCUAAUACCGCAUACGUCCCUUCAGGGGAAAGCGGGGGACCUUCGGGCCUCGCACUAUUAGAAGCGGCGAUAUCGGAUUAGCUAGUUGGUGGGGUAACGGCUCGCAAGGCGACGAUCCGUAGCUGGUUUGAGAGGACGACCAGCCACACUGGGACCCGGACACGGCCCAGACUCCUGCAGGAGGCAGCAGUGGGGAAUUUUGGACAAUGGGGGAAACCUGAUCCAGCCAUCCCGCGUGUGCGAUGAAGGCCUUCGGGUUAUCACUUACUUUUUGGCAGGAAAGAAACGGCACGGGAUAAUACCCCGUGCAGCUGUGUACCUGCGGUGAAUAAGCACCGGCUAACUACGUGCCAACCAGCCGCGGUAAUACGUAGGGUGCAAGCGUUAAUCGGAAUUACUGGGCGUAAAGCGUGCGCAGGCGGUUCGGAGAGAAAAGAUGUGAAAUCCAGAGCAACUUUGGAACUGCAUUUUAACUACCGAGCUAAGAGAGUGUGUCAGAGGGAGGUGGAAUUCCCGCGUGUAGCAGUGAAAUGCGUAGAUAUGCGGAGAGAACACCGAUGGCAGGCAACCUCCUGGGAUAACACUGACGCUCAUGCACAGCGUGGGGAGCAAACGGGAUUAGAUACCUGGUAGUCCACGCCCUAAACGAUGUCAACCAGCUGUUGGGGCCUUCGGGCCUUGGUAGCGCAGCUAACGCGUGAAGUUGACCGCCUGGGGAAGUACGGUCGCAAGAUUAAAGAAACUCAAAGGAAUUGACGGGGACCCACACAAGCGGUGGAUGAUGUGGUUAAUUCGAUGCAACGCGAAAAACCUUACCUACCCUUGACAUGUCUGGAAUCCCGAAGAAGAUUUGGGAGUGCUCGCAAGAGAACCGGAACACAGGUGCUGCAUGGCUGUCGUCAGCUCGUGUCGUGAGAUGUUGGGUUAAGUCCACAAACUGUACUAAUCGUGGUGCUACGAAAAGGGCACUCUAAUGAGACUGCCGGUGACAAACCGGAGGAAGGUGGGGAUGACGUCAAGUCCUCAUGGCCAUAUGGGUAGGGCUUCACACGUCAUACAAUGGUCGGGACAGAGGGUCGCCAACCGCGAGGGCCAAUCCCAGAAACCCGAUCGUAGUCGGAUCGCAGUCUGCAGCUGGGCUUUGCGUGGAAGUCGAAAUCGCUAGUAAUCGCGGAUCAGCAUGUCGCGGUGAGCUUACGUUCCCGGGUCUUGUACACCGCCCCGUCACACCAUGGGGUGGGUUUUACCAGAAGUAGGUUAAGCCUAACCGUAAGGGCGAUUACCACGGUAGGAUUCAUGACUGAGUUGAAGUCGUAACAAGGUAACCCUGUUGCUACCUGAAAUCCCAGAAUAAUGCGUGAA
rnacentral:rRNA from 1 species